rnacentral:rRNA from 1 species
AUUCCGGUUGAUCCUGCCGGAGGCCAUUGCUAUCGGAGUUCGACUUAGCCAUGCUAGUCGCACGGGUUCAGACCCGUGGCAAAUAGCUCAGUAACACGUGGUCAAACUGCCCUACAGAUCGAAAUAACCUCGGGAAACUGAGGCUAAUGCCGAAUAGGACUCUCACGUUGGAGUACAGAGAGUCUCAAACGCUCCCGCGCUGUAGGAUGUGGCUGCGGCCGAUUAGGUAGACGGUGGGGUAACGGCCCACCGUGCCGAUAAUCGGUACAGGUUGUGAGAGCAAGAGCCUGGAGA